AUGGACAUCUUACUAGACAGUGCUGGAUUUAUUUUAUGUUUUCUAACACUGUCUGGUAACGAUGUUUAA
rfam:Xenopus laevis strain J chromosome 7L, whole genome shotgun sequence.